rnacentral:rRNA from 1 species
UUAAAGAGUUCUAUAACUCCCAAACCCAUGUGAACAUACCUUACGUUGCCUCGGCAGGUCGCGCUAUCCCGUAGCGUCCUACCCUGUAGGACCUACCCGGUAGACGCGGGUAAGCCUGCCGGCGGCCCACAAAACUCUGUUUAAUAUUGAAUUCUGAACCCAUAACUAAAUAAGUUAAAACUUUCAACAACGGAUCUCUUGGUUCUGGCAUCGAUGAAGAACGCAGCGAAAUGCGAUAAGUAAUGUGAAUUGCAGAAUUCAGUGAAUCAUCGAAUCUUUGAACGCACAUUGCGCCCAUUAGUAUUCUAGUGGGCAUGCCUGUUCGAGCGUCAUUUCAACCCUUAAGCCUCUGUUGCUUAGUGUUGGGAGCCUACGGCACCCGUAGCUCCUCAAAGUUAGUGGCGGAGUCGGUUCACACUCUAGACGUAGUAAUUUUUAUCUCGCCUAUCAGUUGGACCGGUCCCCUGCCGUAAAACCCCCCAUUUUUAAAGGUUGACCUCGGAUCAGGUAGGAAUACCCGCUGAACUUAAGCAUAUCAAUAAGCGGAGGAAAAGAAACCAACAGGGAUUGCCCUAGUAACGGCGAGUGAAGCGGCAACAGCUCAAAUUUGAAAUCUGGCCCUCGGGUCCGAGUUGUAAUUUGUAGAGGAUGCUUUUGGCGCGGUGCCUUCCGAGUUCCCUGGAACGGGACGCCUUAGAGGGUGAGAGCCCCGUACGG